rnacentral:rRNA from 1 species
CUGGCGGCAGCCUACACAUGCAAGUCGAACGGUAACAGGAAGCAGCUUGCUGCUUUGCUGACGAGUGGCGGACGGGUGAGUAAUGUCUGGGAAACUGCCUGAUGGAGGGGGAUAACUACUGGAAACGGUGGCUAAUACCGCAUAACGUCGCAAGACCAAAGAGGGGGACCUUCGGGCCUCUUGCCAUCAGAUGUGCCCAGAUGGGAUUAGCUUGUUGGUGAGGUAACGGCUCACCAAGGCGACGAUCCCUAGCUGGUCUGAGAGGAUGACCAGCCACACUGGAACUGAGACACGGUCCAGACUCCUACGGGAGGCAGCAGUGGGGAAUAUUGCACAAUGGGCGCAAGCCUGAUGCAGCCAUGCCGCGUGUAUGAAGAAGGCCUUCGGGUUGUAAAGUACUUUCAGCGGGGAGGAAGGUGUUGCGGUUAAUAACCGCAGCAAUUGACGUUACCCGCAGAAGAAGCACCGGCUAACUCCGUGCCAGCAGCCGCGGUAAU